rnacentral:lncRNA from 1 species
UACCUAUAGCUACAUUACUAUCACUAUAGUAAUAAAAUCUUCACUUUUUCAUUUAGAACAUUCAAAGAAGAUUUCUGUCACAGGCAGCUCCUAUACUCACCAGAAGCUUAGAACCAUUAAGAGUGCUUCUGAUGGAUCUUCAGAAAGAGAGAGAGAGCACGUGCGAUCACAAGUGGGCAGAGAGGCAGGCAGAGAGGUGGAAACAGGCUUCCUGCUAAGCCCAGAGCCCGAUGCAUGGCUCAAUCCCAGGACCCUGAGAUCAUGACCUGAGCUGAAGGCAGAGGCUUAACCCACUGAGCCACCCAGGUCCAUUUAGCAACAUUCUUAAUAAACGAAUCUUGUA